UGCCAUGGGAUCUUCUAAGUCCAACUGAGAGGGCUGAUGGAUUUCAUCUGAAAGACUAUACAACAUUGCCUCAUUACUGGAGAGUCGGUCUAAACUUCAACUGAAAUUCUUGGAGCGAGACGUGAAUGCACAGUCUGUUUUGUAUCCAAAAACUCCAUUCACUUCUUGAGGAAUGAAUCGAACUGGCUGAAAGAUGGUAUCUGUGAAGCCUGGAAUAUCAGGAGAAGAACUCACCACUCACUGAAUAUCCGCCAAAAAGAACAUCAUCCCAAGCAUUGCAUUAUCUAUCAAAGGCUGCUGUGCACCUGGAUGAACACUGGCAUGCUGAUG